GAUGAACGCUGACAGAAUGCUUAACACAUGCAAGUCGAUUCAAGUUACCUUCGGGUAACAAGGAUGGCGGACGGGUGAGUAACGCGUAAGGAACUUGCCUCUUGGUCUGGGACAACUGUUGGACACGACAGCUACUACCGUAUAUUAUGAGGUUCUCGCAUGGGAAACUUAUGCAAUCUAUAUGCGCCCAGAGAGAGUCGUGCGUUCCAUUAGCUAGUUGGUGGGGUAACGGACCACCAAGGCGACGAUGGAUAGCCGGCCUGAGAGGGUGAACGGCCACAAGGGGACUGAGACACGGCCCUUACUCCUACGGGAGGCAGCAGUGGGGAAUAUUGGACAAUGGGCCACAAGCCUGAUCCAGCAAUUCCGUGUGCACGAUGAAGGUCUUCGGAUUGUAAAGUGCUUUCAGUUGGGAAGAAGAAAGUGACGGUACCAACAGAAGAAGCGACGGCUAAAUACGUGCCAGCAGCCGCGGUAAAAC
rnacentral:rRNA from 1 species